AGUCCGUGAUGGGGAUAAAGCCUCAGUAUAUCCUUGUAUCUCUCCCACGCUUCGAUAAGAGAUUCAUCGUCUUUCUACCUAAAUUCCUUGAUUUGGGCUCUUAGCGU